AUUGAACGCUGGCGGCAGGCCUAACACAUGCAAGUCGAACGAGUGGCGGACGGGUGAGUAAUGUCUGGGAAAAUGCCUGAUGGAGGGGGAUAACUACUGGAAACGGUAGCUAAUACCGCAUACCAUCGGAUGUGCCCAUAUGGGAUUGGCUAGUAGGUGGGGUAAAGGCGAACGUAGGCGACGAUCCCUAGCUGGUCUGAGAGGAUGAACAGCCAAACGGGAACUGAGACACGGUCCAGACUCCUACGGGAGGCAGCAGUGGGGAAUAUUGCACAAUGGGCGCAAGCCUGAUGCAGCCAUGCAGCGUGUAUGAAGAAGGCCUUCGGGUUGUAAAGUACUUUCAGCGGGGAGGCGUUACCCGCAGAAGAAGCACCGGCUAACUCCGUGCCAGCAGCCGCGGUAAUAC
rnacentral:rRNA from 1 species